GUGCCGCUAGAGGGGAAGCCGGGCUGGGGUUCAUAUUCCUGAAUGUGGGAAAAAUGGAACUGAGGGCCAGGACCGGAGGUUUUAUGCAGGCAGGAGCCCAGUUAGGCCGUCAAGGAAGUUUUGUCUCUGUGCCCCCCAGGCUCUCUCUUUGUAUCUUGUAUCACCCUCUUCUUAACAUCUCCCCUCCCCCUUGAGACAGUUUGCCUCUAUAGCCUAGGCUGGCCCCUGCCUUCCAGCUGCAGAAACCCUGAGGCUGGAAUCCCUGCUCUUCCUUCCCAGGAGGUCUCUGUUGUGUUGUCUCUGCUGACUGCUUUCUGAGUUUACAGAUCAAUCCAGAUUCUGUAACCAAAGCUAGAGUCUCAUUCUCUUUCUCGGUAGCCAGUGUGCCACCUUGCGGGUACAGAACUUGCUUGGAGCAAAGACAGGGGGAGGGGAAGACAACCCGCUUUCCGGUGAUUGGCUGUGUCUGAAGCUCGCGAUUCCCUGUUAGGAACUGAGAAACUAUCUUCCUUCAGUCUAGCUGGUUUUGUUUGGGGAGGUGUUUUGAUUCUGCCCGAGAGGGACUUUGGCAGCCGGUGAGAGCCCACGGUGGGUGAGAGACAGACAAAUAUGCCAGAUAGGCAGACUUAGGACAAGGAGCAUCACUGACUGCGGAAGCCCUCAGGGUAGAGGCGUGCACACUGAAUGAAUGAAUGAGUGCACUUCUGUGUCUAACAGUGCAGCCCAGCCCAGUGGACUUGACCCUUCCUGAUCCUUGUGAGACCAAGCAGGUUGGCCUGGAAUUCUGUGCGGCCUGGAUGACCCACUCUUUGUUGCUGUGAUCAACACCAUUACCAAGGCGACUUAUACAAGAAAAGGUUUACUUGGCCUUAGAGUUGCAGAGGGAUGAGAAUCAAUGGGGGCUGCAGGAACAGCAAGCUGAAAGCUCACAUCAUAACCACAAGCAGGACACAGAGCAAGCUGGGAAUGGCUCCCUUUGAAGUCCCAUAGCCUGCCCAGAGAGACAUGCUUUUCAAACUGGGGAUCAAGUGUUAAAUGCCUUUUUCCUCGUCUCUCUAGUGACAAGGACUCAGUGGACGGCCUCUGUCCAGGCUCACUUUGACUGUCAACUCCACACAGCUGAGAGCUGAGAGAAGCCUCCUCUGAGGAAUCUCCUAGCGCAGCUUGGCCUGUAGGCACAUCUGUUGGGACUUCCUGGAUUGUUAAUGGCUGUUGCAGGACCCAGCUCACAGUGGGUUCCUGGCUUCCCUCAAGGACGGCUGUGCCCUGGAAGUGUGAGUGGAAUAAGGCCUUCCCUCCCCUAAGCUGCAUUUGGUCCCAGCAACAGAAGAGUAGCUACAACUAUCAAUCCUCCAAACCGUGUUGUCCUCCCUCCCUUUCUCUAUCUCUGUCUCUGUGGAACCCAACCUAAGUUCUUAAAUGAGUAAAAUCAGA